AAUAUUCAUAUAAAUCUCGGUUCUAGUGGGAGAACAGCCACUAGAGGUAACGGGGAAAGUCCGGUGUGAAUCCGGCGCUGUCCCGCAGCUGUAAUCAAGGCCGGCCUUGUGAGUCAGAACGCCCGCCGAAGCUAACUUGUAAAU
rnacentral:ncRNA from 2 species